UACGGAGGGGACUAGCGUUGUUCGGAAUCACUGGGCGUAAAGCGCACGUAGGCGGCUUUCUAAGUCAGGGGUGAAAUCCUGGAGCUCAACUCCAGAACUGCCUUUGAUACUGGAGAGCUUGAGUCCGGAAGAGGUGAGUGGAACUCCGAGUGUAGAGGUGAAAUUCGUAGAUAUUCGGAAGAACACCAGUGGCGAAGGCGGCUCACUGGUCCGGUACUGACGCUGAUGUGCGAAAGCGUGGGGAGCAAACAGG
rnacentral:rRNA from 1 species